rnacentral:rRNA from 1 species
AUGAUUGCAUCGUAUGGAUCCCUAGCUCCAAAACGAUACACGUACUCAGAGGUAAUGAAGAUAACAUCCUCUCGCAGCAAUGAGCUUGGAAAAGGUGGUUAUGGUGUGGUUUUCAAAGGAACCCUACUUGAUGGCCGUCUAGUAGCAGUGAAAUUCUUGCAUGAAUGCAAAGGAAACGGGGGCGAGUUUGUGAAUGAGGUUAUGAGCAUUGGCAGGACUUCUCAUGUAAAUGUUGUUAGCUUGUUUGGGUUCUGUUUGGAGGGAUCAAAACGAGCUCUUAUAUAUGAGUACAUGUCCAACAAUUCCUUGGAUAAGUUCAUUUACUCAGAGGACCCCAAGGAAAUUUUAGGAUGGGAUAAGCUCUAUGUAAUAGCAAUCGGGAUUGCUCGUGGCCUCGAAUACUUGCACCAUAGUUGUAAUACACGCAUCGUACAUUUCGACAUCAAGCCACAAAAUAUCCUUCUAGACAAGGAUUUUAGCCCCAAAAUUGCUGAUUUUGGUCUAGCUAAAUUGUGUCAUACAAAAGAAAGCAAGGUUUCAAUGACCGGUGCUAGAGGAACAAUUGGAUUCAUCGCUCUAGAAGUUCACUCUCGAACCUUCGCUCCAGAAGUUCACUCUCCAGAAGCCUCACACUCUCAGUCUCAGUCAGUCAACACUCAGCAGCAGUAG